GAAGUGGUCUAGCUUAGGGGUGGAAAUGAAAAGAACAAUAUUGUAAUAAUUUGUAAUAAUGUCGAUUGUAUUUGGAAGUUGAAUGUAAUGUAAAGAUAAAAAAAUUAAGAUGAAUGCUUGUAAUAGCAUAGUUGUAUUUAUGUUUUCGAUACCUUCCUUAUGGAAUAUGUGUUUGAAUACUGUUCCUUGUUGGAACCUCGUGUAUUGUAUAGAUUGUGACGCCUAGAACGUACAGGAAAAAUUCUGUCUGUUCGGCGGUCUGUUGGCGUGCCCGAAUCCGACCAAAUAGGCGGAGCUCGGGGCGUGACAGAUUGAAUGGUAUCAGAGCAUAAAGAGAGUAAUAGAAAUGGUUUAGACGGACUUAGGAGACCGUAGGAUAGUAAACCAUAGAGGUUAAGGCUCGUGAAAGACGAGGACUUGUGACUUGCGGUGAAAGGUUAAUGGAUUGGGUUAUGUUU
rnacentral:lncRNA from 1 species